rnacentral:lncRNA from 1 species
UUAUCUUUGGGAAGCAGGCUGAAAUACAUGAUUGUUUGGAUGACAACUCCAUACCACGUUAUAAGUUCAACCUAUGCACGUGGUCCACAGUUAUGUCCAGAGUCGGAAACAAAGAUAACCUAACUGGUCUUGUCUAUCUUUUUUUUACAAGUGUCAACUGCUGCAUCAACUGCCCAUCCCCAAUGAACCAUCACUAAUUUGCGGAUUUAUUUAUUUCACAGACAUCGCUGGAGUCAUAAUGUUUGUGGGGGGCAUGGAGACUGAGAGAAACAUCAAUAGAGUAAACAUAACUCUGCUGGACGGCAGGUAAGCAGCACACCAAGAAAAUAUGAAUUUACAUAUCCAUAUGAUGUUAGAUGAAAUUCAAUCAUUGUUAUACUAAUUAGAAAACGUCCAGGCUCGCAAAACUACGAGUAACCCUAUGGGGAGUAAAGGCAACACAAUUUGAGAUGAACUUCAACCUUUACAGACGCAAGAAUGUUGUUCUGAUAAUUACCGGUUUACUGGUCACAAAAACUCAAGGUACAUUUCUCCGUUUUUCCAACCUUUUACAGGUGACUGGGGAAAGAGAUAAUUAAAUAUAAGACUGCCCUGUCCAACUACUGUCCAAUAUAGCAAGCAAAGUGUGAAGUUGUCGUCGCAGGUCAUCUUGUAAUUACUGCAAGAUAAUGACAAGCCAAAAAUCUAAAAAAGGCUCCACCAUCUUCAAUUUAAAUUAUUCUUCAUCUAUUAGGUUGUAAGAUAGCAUUCUGUGAAUUAAACCUUCAAAAAUACAUGACCAUACAGUUUUUUGGAUUAUAUAUGAUAUUAAUCCCCUACUACAUAUCAAAAAUUGUGGCACCUGGAGUUUCUAUAAUCGACAUGAACCUGUCAAUAAGAUCGGUCGUCCUAUGCCCUAUUUGGUGUACAUUCUUAUGGUCGACCAUUAUAAGCAAAUUGAGGAGUGAAGGGCUUAUCGUGUUGGCGGUUGCAUCAUCUGGUAUUGCCUCCCUUCUAAUAGAGGGUGGAAGAACGGCCCACUCCCGCUUCAGGAUACCAAUAGAUAUAAAUGAAACGAGUACUUGUGAGAUAAAGAAAAAAACUCAUCUUGCAGAAUUAAUAUGCAAAGCUAGCCUGGUCAUUUGGGACGAGGCUCCCAUGACCCAUCGUUUUAUUUUUGAAGCCGUCGACCGAAGUUUUCGUGAUGUGCGACACACAAUUAAUCCGAAUGCGGCCUCAAUGCCAUUUGGGGGUGUAACCAUGUUGCUUGGUGGAGAUUUCAGGCAGACUCUGCCUGUCGUUCCCAAGGAAGGAAGAGAAGGUAUAGUCGGAGCCAGUAUAAGUAAAUCUUCUUUAUGGAGAAAUUGCAAGGUCUUCAUUAUGGAAGAGAAUAUGCGGUUGGAAAAAAAUAUUCCACCGGUUACAGUUGAUGGAACAUUUUUGAGUUUCAAAGAUUGGAUUCUAAGAAUAGGAAAUGGAGUGCAACAAACAUAUACACUUGGAGAUGGAGAUGACUCGACCUGGAUCAACAUCCCAAAGGAGGUAUGCUUCCUGGUUUCAGUCAAGGAUUAUAUGCCUCAUACAGCAUCGCUAGUGAUGCAAGCUCCAGUUUCAUCCACACUAAAUUAACUCCAUCUUAACUUUCUUGUUUUCCCGCAUCUCAUAACAUUUAUAACUUCUCUUGCAUUAAAAUGUUGUCUGCAAUACAUAAUUGAUUUCGACACAUUGUCCUACCAAUUAUACUUAAGUUUCAUACUUGAAACACCAUUGAAAAAGUUAUAAUGGGCAAAGAUAUUUUGUCAGACAUUGUUUACCAUAAUUAUUAUUAGUUAUAUAUAUAAAAUAUGCUGCAAGGUGCAGUCCAGAGGAGUGAAAUUGUAUAAGAUCCUAUGUGAUAGAACCAAUAUAAUUAUAAGGGCUCAUUAGUUAACAAUUACUUGUUACUUAAUAUUUAACUGACAUGCUUAACCUACCUUACAUUAUACUACUUCACAUUGUGUGACUACUUUAUGUGUUAGCUCUGCCAGCCGCCCUACAAGAUAACUUAUACCAUAAUCCCCUUCCAGGUGCAAGUGACUUACUCCGGUGACCCUGUAAAGGCUAUUGUUGACCACAUAUACAAAGACCUUGAUGAGGGACAUGGUUCCCUCGAGUACCUUCGUGACAGAGCAAUAUUGACACCACUGAAUGAGUAUGUCGACAAGAUUAAUCGUGAGGUGUUGGAAAGGCUACCCAAUAGUUCUAGAGUGUACAAAAGCUCAGACACUAUCUGCAAAGGGUCAUCGACUAAUGAGGGUGAUGAGAUUCUAUACCCUGCAGAAUACCUCAAUUCUCUUAAGUUCAGCGGAGUUCCAAACCACGAACUUGAGUUAAAAGUUGGAGUUCCCAUAAUGCUUCUACGGAACCUUAAUCCGAAGAAAGGAUUGUGUAAUGGCACCCGACUUAUUGUGACUCAGUGCUGCCCAUUUGUCAUAGAGGGGAUGAUCAUAACUGGGAACAAAACUGGGGAGAAAACAUAUAUACCGAGAAUUUGUAUGUCACCUGCAGACAAAACAAUGCCAUUUGUCCUGAAGAGGAAGCAAUUCCCAAUUUCUGUGUGUUACGCAAUGACUAUCAACAAGAGUCAGGGCCAAACAGUAAAAAAUGUGGGGCUAUAUUUGCCAAAGCCAGUGUUCUGCCACGGACAACUGUACGUCGCCGUGUCAAGAGUGACUUCGCCAUCUGGUUUAAAAAUAGUCAGCGUCAACGAAGAAGACAUGUGUGAUGGCUAUACAAAGAAUGUUGUGUACCAGGAAAUCUUCAAUAACAUUGUCCCUACGGACUGACUCUGAUUGGGGCACUUAAAUUCAGCAUCCUCCAACUUUCCAGAGUAACAAACUACAAAUACAGAGUUUGUAAAUAGCUGCUCCUUAUGGUUCAUCUAAGGCGGAUCAACUACAAAAGCACCCAGCGGAAGAAAUCAACUACUUAAUAAUCUAAUCUUUAAAUUCAUUAGAUUAGAUUUGUUACAGUACAUGGGUAGAUGAUACUAUAUACUAUUGCUGCGUUCGUGCAUAAGAAUCAUCUCUGUGAUGUAGAUUUCCUAAUUCACUAUAUUAGAUUCAAUUUGAGCUGACAUCCCACUUAAUUAUAGUACAGAACCUAACCUAAAAUUUGUCGCUGAUUGCCCUUGAAUUCACACACACACACACACACACAUAAACCUUGCCAUAAUGCCAAACGACAAUUAAAGAGUGUCCCUCCGCAUAUCUGGAUUGUACAAAAGCGCGGUAUUACUUUACAGCACUUUGUCAAACUUAUAGACUAUGCAGAGUUAAAUCCGCAACUCUCUCAAACGUGUUUACUGUAACUUCAUGGUAAUGAAGUUGGGUAGUCAAGCUUCAUAACCGGGCCACUGCAAGAAGUUAUGCCCAAAUAAAAAACGGUUUGACAGAAGAAUAGUUUAGACUUCUAGAGGAAGUAGGUGUUCACCCACCUCUAAAGGACAUUGUUGUGGAGGACUCCAAGUAAGUUGAGCUACAUACCCGCAGCAUCGGGAGACAUGCUGCUUAUAAAUAACAAGUUACUUGCAUUAGCGAAAAUUAACUUCCAAUUUAUUGGUUUUGCCAAAUUUAUCAUUAUUUACAACUUAUUCAAUAUAAAACUUGUAAUAUAAAAAUUACAAAUUAACUUCUAAAAUGAUUACAUAUUUUUUAAUAAAGUCAAAUUUCAAAAUUUAAAAUAACUCAGAAACGAAGAGGGAAUUUUCAAUUUCUCAUCAUUUAACUUAUAAGUAAGCAGUUACUUUUAUUGCGAAGUUGCCAUUCGUUAUGAGAAGUUGUGAUGCACUGACUCAUGAAACUCACACAUUCUUCUAUACCAGAUCUAAAUCUUAUUGCUGAGGCAUACAACAAACUCCGGAAAAAGACAGGAAAAUCGGAAAGCCCAAUAACUGUUCAAUAAAACUAUGGCAUAUGAUUAUGGAUAUAUUAGGGGUCUAGAUUUCAUUUUUUAUUACUUUGUCCAACUCAUCAAAAUAGCCAGCAUCUACGGGUUACCAUGUCAUCACCAACUCAUAGACAGCCGAGAUACCGAUGGCAAAGGCUCUAGCGAACCACAGCUUUAAAGAAUGAACAAGAAGAAACCAGUGACUAAAUCGAAAAUAAGCAAUAUGAACAGUGAUAUUUGUGUAUUUUACAUUUUACAUUUUGAGCUAAAGUUCAAUAACACCUUCAGUUACUUCUUACUAUCUCUAAUUACAAGAAUUGAGCAUACUUUUCUUUGUUCUCAAUUUGCAGCUUUCGUGUUGUGUUAGCUAUAUCUUUGGCAGUGAAUUUAGGCGACUGAAGCUCGCUUCAUUUGUAAACUUAGGUAUGAACAUAAUCUCUGUAGAGUUUUCAUUGUGUGCAUGGUUAGUUUACUGUUAAUGCACAGCUUCUGCCACAGAAAAAUUAAUUGCAUGUGGUACUGCCCACAGACCAAAAAAAUUAUGGAGUACGCAUAGGUACAACCUAAAUAACGUCUCGAGCUUAUCUGGAUGCCCAGUCAAUUUCAUUACCUUUUAUAAUACAAUGUUUUUAUGUCAAGCCUACCUUGUGCAUAUCUCAUUGCUGCAGGGGAGGUAGAUACUUCCAUUUCAGGAGUUGUAAAAUAUGAUCGAAGGGUACCUAUGCUCAUUAAUAAUGAGAGUGUAGUGCAGCUUAGGGAUUCUUUCUCUAAUCCUAUUGUCUCGAACCAAUCAAAGCUUACACUGCUCUUGCUAAGAAUAUUCUUCCAUGCCUAUUUGGGGUGAGAGUUUACAGUUGUAAUCAUAAAAAUCACUGCAAUAUUGUUUUGUUACGAUUUUGAUCUCUUCAUCUAUGUUCUUGACAUCUGAAUAUGAUGUAUGUCACUUUUGGAUAUUAGUAUGUACCUACCUUUUCUAAAAAGUUGAUAUAUCCGUGGAUUUACUGCUUAACAUAAACCAUCUCAGCACUCACCCCCCUUCGAAUUGGUACAUAAAAUUGAGUCCUGUAUUAUGCUUGUAUAUCCAUAUUUUUAGAAUGAUAUUAUUUGUUGGAGGUCACUAUGCCACUGUAUAAAGUACUUACUCCAUAGUUUAUUUUUUAAAUUUUUGCACAGUCACAUAAACUUGCAAUAAUAUUAUUUUAAGGUUGCAAUGAUUUUCACUUUUCUCCUUUCACAAGUUUGAUAUUAUUUUAAACCUGUUCAGCUGACUACUUUCCUCUGGGAAGAUGAAUCAAUUGCUUUUAGCACUCUCGAAAAUGAUAGUGUUGAUGGUGAUAAUGCAAGUAUAGUUUGAUAUACAAAGGUAAUUUCCUGAUUCUAGGGGUGCGAAUAUAGUCUGUUAUUUUGUACCAUCCAAUCUGUUUCAACGGAUCACUUUACUUCAACAUCUCCUGCAAGGCACAUUUACCUUAUUAAAUACUAUUUCACUAAGUAAUGUUAUAGCUAUUCAUGACUUCUACAUUCUUCGGAGAAAGUCGUAAACUUUUGCCCCAGAAGCUUGCUCUAGGUAACAUAUUUUUUUUGGCAGCCAAGUCAUGGUUCAGAUCUGCAAUAUGGACAUCUAUUCCCACACUCUUCAUUUUGUGCAGCAUAUGUAAUACCCGUUCCCUAAUGCAUGAAACUGCUCUUUUCCCAGGCUUUAUGGCAGCUUUUGUGGUUUAAUCCUGCCCUGCCUGCAAGCUCAGAACAGUCUACUACCAAUACAAAUUCAUUAAGGAACACGCAUCAACGAGCCGUAGUGUGGUGAGGAGCGGCUGAGCCAUUAGUUUUGCCCUGACGUCACAAAGCUUCUGCUGGGUAAGGCUUGGUAAUGUUCUUUCUCUUUAUCCAGAUUUUUGCAACAAAUGCUCUCAGACAACAAUAUAUCCAUCAGACGACAACUUUUGCAAAAGCUCCUGAUAAGCUUCUGCCAGUUGACAUGUCUGCUGAAUUUCCUGGUUAUGCAUUCUGACUUGGGAACUUAUUGGAAGCAGCUGCUCUUGCUUCUGCUCCGCCCCACUGCUCUUUUGAUUUGGUUAAUAGAGUGGGUUCUGAGGUGAAUAAUCUUUCUUGCAUACUAUGUAUUUGACUUUCACAUAUUUAGAUUACAUUAAUGAUACUUGAUUUAACCUUCACCUAUUCAAGAGGUCAGACUAAUAUCUUUUAACUGGAUUUUUUUUUAACUGGUUCAAGCUCAUGUCUAAACUCCCUCUAUUUUACAAAGGCAAGUAUAUUUCAUUAAAAAUAUUUAAAAUAACUCUUGAUUUUGAUUUAGGGUUACAUAUAUUCCUCAGCAGAAAAAAUUAAUUACAAUAACACACUAUUACCUAGGCUUAGUUCCCCUCUAAAAAUUUAAAAAACUGAAUAUAAUUUGGGCUCACUAUACGGGGUUUUAACUAAUUAAAUACCAUUACAAUAUUCUCAGAAGGCAAUUGUAUUUUUUGAGGUUUUCUGGAAUAUUACUUAGCUCAACUUUUUGGGAUAAAUCUUAGUUCUGAUCUACUCUAUAGUUAAAAGUAACGGUUGUAAGGCAUUAACUACUAUUAACUAAUGUUUUAAAUUCGGCAUUAAACACCAAUACAUGUAUUAAAUGCAGCCUAUACAUAUUAUCAUAUCAAAUGAUUGGCACAAGGCACAUAUCUUUCCAAACCGUUACAAAUACAGCAUCCCACAAUCUAGCUAGCAGAAAGGAUUAUUAUGGAAGAGGAAGGUCAGCUACACUAUGGAUUUCACGAGGAAAAAUUGCAGGUGCGUAUCACUCAUAUGUGGGACACAUUUUCCUUCAACACAUACUACGAAGCAAUGACAUGUUUGAUAAUGAUAGAUGUCAAGGUACGUCAAGUUGAAAUUACGGAAUUUGUAAUCAUGCUCUACUUGGUUUAUUCAUGUCAUUAACAACAAAUCACAAUAUGCAGAAUGAUCAGUACUGGGCAAUCACUGAGAUUACUCAACGACAAAAGUUACUGAAAUUCAUAUGUCCAGGUUUGAUGUACCACAUCUCUAAUUUUAGGGUAGUGGCCGCCCCAACUGCUUGGAAACCAAUAGAUACGGACAAGUUACUUAUCUUUGGGAAGCAGGCUGAAAUACAUGAUUGUUUGGAUGACAACUCCAUACCACGUUAUAAGUUCAACCUAUGCACGUGGUCCACAGUUAUGUCCAGAGUCGGAAACAAAGAUAACCUAACUGGUCUUGUCUAUCUUUUUUUUACAAGUGUCAACUGCUGCAUCAACUGCCCAUCCCCAAUGAACCAUCACUAAUUUGCGGAUUUAUUUAUUUC